CUUGACCGAGCCGAGCCACAGCGGCUGCCCGGCCGGGCGGUCCUGGCCGUAGGCGGCCAGCAGCGCGUGCGCCUC
rnacentral:antisense_RNA from 1 species